ACUCUCCCUGUUUGGUGCUAUUCCUUAUUUCUUGUAUCAUUUAACAUUUCAGCUGACCCUUGUUAGACACCUUUAUAGUUUGGUCUCAACCUUCCCUCAGGGUCAGAUCAAUGUUUCCUUGAUCCUGUGACUCUGACCCUGCAUCCUCUGGUCUUGUAUCCUGUUUUAUUGUUCCUGUGUCCACCGGUCUUGUAUCCUGUGACUCUGCAUCCUCUGG